GACGAACGCUGGCGGCGUGCUUAACACAUGCAAGUCGAACGGAAAGGCCCUGCUUUUGUGGGGUGCUCGAGUGGGGAACGGGGGAGUAACACGCGGGUAAACUGCCCUUGACUUUGGGAGAACUUCAGGGAACUGGGGCUAAUACAGGAUAGGAGCUCCUGCUGCAUGGGGGGGAUUGGAAAGAUUCGGCGGUUGGGGCUGGACUAGCGGCUUAUCAGCCUGUUGGUGGGGUAGUGGCGUACAAAGGCUUUGACGGGUAGGCGGCCUGGGAGGGGGACCGGCCACCUUGGGCCUGAGAUACGGCCCAGACUCCUACGGGCGGCAGCAGUCGGGAAUAUUGCACAAUGGGGCGACGCCUGAUGCAGCAACGCCGCGUGCGGGAUGCCGGCUUUCGGGUUGUAAACCGCUUUGGCCUGUGCCGAAGCGUGAGUGACGGUAAUGGGUCAAGAAGCACCGGCUAACUACGUG
rnacentral:rRNA from 1 species